rnacentral:rRNA from 1 species
UACGUAGGGUGCGAGCGUUAAUCGGAAUUACUGGGCGUAAAGCGUGCGUAGACGGUUAUUUAAGUCGGGUGUGAAAGCCCCGGGCUCAACCUGGGAAUUGCAUUCGAGACUGAAUAGCUAGGGUACGGUAGAGGGAAGUGGAAUUUCCGGUGUAGCGGUGAAAUGCGUAGAUAUCGGAAGGAACAUCAGUGGCGAAAGCGCUCUACUGGACCUCAUCUGACACUCAGGGACGAAAGCUAGGGGAGCGAAUGGG